rnacentral:rRNA from 1 species
AUUGAACGCUGGCGGAAUGCUUUACACAUGCAAGUCGAACGGCAGCACGGACUUCGGUCUGGUGGCGAGUGGCGAACGGGUGAGUAAUGUAUCGGAACGUGCCCAGUCGUGGGGGAUAACGUAGUGAAAAUUACGCUAAUACCGCAUACGAUCUAUGGAUGAAAGCGGGGGAUCGCAAGACCUCGCGCGAUUGGAGCGGCCGAUAUCAGAUUAGGUAGUUGGUGGGGUAAAGGCACCAAGCCAACGAUCUGUAGCUGGUCUGAGAGGAAGACCAGCCACACUGGAACUGAGACACGGUCCAGACUCCUACGGGAGGCAGCAGUGGGGAAUUUUGGACAAUGGGCGAAAGCCUGAUCCAGCCAUUCCGCGUGCAGGAUGAAGGCCCUCGGGUUGUAAACUGCUUUUAUACAGAACGAAAAGGUUUCUACUAAUACUAGGAGCUCAUGACGGUACUGUAAGAAUAAGCACCGGCUAACUACGUGCCAGCAGCCGCGGUAA